rnacentral:rRNA from 1 species
GAUGAACGCUGGCGGCGUGCCUAAUACAUGCAAGUCGAGCGAACAGACGAGGAGCUUGCUCCUCUGACGUUAGCGGCGGACGGGUGAGUAACACGUGGAUAACCUACCUAUCAGACUGGGAUAACCUCGGGAAACCGGAGCUAAUACCGGAUAAUAUAUUGAACCGCAUGGUUCAAUAGUGAAAGACGGUUUUUGGGGCACUUAUAGAUGGAUCCGCGCCGCAUUGGCUGGUUGGUAAGGUAACGGCUUACCAAGGCAACGAUGCGUAGCCGACGUGAGGGGGGGAUCGGCCACACUGGAACUGAGACACGGUCCAGACUCCUGCGGGAGGCAGCAGUAGGGAAUCUGCCGCAAUGGGCGAAAGCCUGACGGAGCAACGCCGCGUGAGUGAUGAAGGUCUUCGGAUCGUAAAACUCUGUUAUUAGGGAAGAACAAAUGUGUAAGUAACUAUGCACGUCUUGACGGUACCUAAUCAGAAAGCCACGGCUAACUACGUG